AUUCAGAUAGCUUAUAUUUAGAGCAUAAUAUUGAAGAUAUUAGGGAGAUUAAAUUAAUCUUUGGAUA
rnacentral:tRNA from 1 species